UAGGAACUGAUCCAAACCAUGUUGGAAAAAUUCUCAAAGACUAUACAGUAUCUAUCAUCGCAAUCAUUCGUUUAGAAAACCUCUGCCAAACUUCAGAAUGAAAGUCGAUGAUUUGCUGAAGUCGUAAAGAUCUUUUCUUAUUUGAUAAAACGAGUUUCGUAUAAGAAUCAUUAUACGAGAAAUCUUCAGGCAUUAAAGCAUCACUCUCA
rnacentral:lncRNA from 1 species